rnacentral:rRNA from 1 species
UACGGAGGGUGCAAGCGUUAUCCGGAUUUACUGGGUUUAAAGGGUGCGUAGGUGGGUCUGUAAGUCAGUGGUGAAAUCUCCGAGCUUAACUCGGAAACUGCCAUUGAUACUAUAGGUCUUGAAUUAUCUGGAGGUGAGCGGAAUAUGUCAUGUAGCGGUGAAAUGCUUAGAUAUGACAUAGAACACCAAUUGCGAAGGCAGCUCACUACGGAUUAUUGACACUGAGGCACGAAGCGUGGGAUCA